CGUAUCCCAGUGGAGAUAUGCACUUCUAGUCGACCUCUGUUCAGGAACACUGCAUAGUAGGCCUGCAAUGUAUAUGUUGGUAUAAGAAGUUCUUGAUGCCAAUCAGAUUUGCCUCUGUAAGCAGAUUUCAUUCAGUAUGACGAGUGACCUCGAGAAUUUCACAACCUCUGUGACACCACAGCUCUUCUUUUUAAGGCCCUUUGGGAUCCUUGACUAAGAACUGCUAUCAACCUUUAAACCUGCUGUAUCAUUGUGUGUCAAUGCCUGUCACCACUGAAAUAAACGGCAAGAUUCAGAAAGACCAGAAUUUCAUCCUAUGUCCCCAUUCUAAGUGGAUGCCCUGCUCCGGCUGUUGAGGCAGCUCUGUCAGGUUGCUGAAAAAGUCUGUGGCUGGAACUGAGCAGAAAUUUGGUGAAAAAAAGUGAGGGAAUGAAAUGAGUAAAACUCUCCAACAGCUUAUUAGGGCAGCGAGGAGUUAUCAAAUGGACUAAAAUGUUCAAAGUUGAACAUUCUUCUGUAGUCUGUGUGAUUUAUGAAGUCUGCCUUGAGAAUGCAAAAUCAGUCUCAAGCUCUUCGUCUUUAUCCCACAAAUCCAACUAAUGUGUCUGCAAUGUAAUUCUCCUAAACACUGCUCUGUACUUCAGAUUUGUGCAGCUGUAAUUGUUCUAAAUUGCUGAUACAACAGUUUGUGCAAAACUAAUGGCAUGGACACCCUAUAUAUCCAGAGCAACCAGCUUAAUAGGCGAUGUGCUUUUGUAGGUUGUGUGAAUUUUUAUACCACGUCCUGGCUCUAUAUUCUGCUGAAGCAGCUUUCUUGUAAAUGAAAGUCUGGCAUUAUUGUGUUGUGAAGCUGUUUUUGUAUGCAUAAUAUGAACUGGUAAAAAUUUCAACAAUUCGUAUCCUACCCCAGUUUAUGUUUUCCUAGCAAAAUGAAGUUUCACUAAGCCAGCCUCUAGAGAUGGUGCCAUAAUUUUAUUUUAAUUCUCUGCUCUGAAAGGCUGAUUUCUGUGAUUUCACUAAGUUAUUUAAACUGGAUGCCAUUUUCUCCUCUGAGAGCUAUGGAUGUAACCGCAAUUAGAGUGCUUUGUUUUCUUUCUCCUUCUUUCUUUCAUUUUCUGAUUAUGUUAUGAGUUCUAUAUUUAAUACUAUGUGAAAUUAACUGUAACGAUGCAGGAGGAAUUACUCAGCUUCAAAUCAAAUUGCAAUAUAGAUGAUGUUUUCUAAAUUACUAAGAUCUCUUCAGAAGAAGAUAAAGGAUAUAAAGUUAUGCAAU